GCUGAUUGGCUGAUGUGUUGUGCGUGUGUUUGCACCUGCUGGUGCAACAAUCACAGCUGCUGUGCACCAACGUCUGCGAGCGUCCGCGUUAAGUCCGGAGGGGCAGCCAGUGACCGAGCCCCUCGAAGAACCUCCGUACGUUCAUGACGUAGAAGUUGACGUUCUGAGUGAAGUCGGUGCAAAUGUUCGAGUACGUGUCCACCAGGGUGCAAUAGAGAGCGGUCCCACCUACACUGAUCACCACGGUAACCAGACACAGCAGCAGGAGGAUCAGGCAGGAGUCUCCACCCACCUCAUCUGAGAAAUUCCUUUGAGGGUUCUCUGCUCUGGCGUUUUUCGCCGUCUCUUAUGGCGUCUCCUGGCGGCGGCAUCGAAGCAGGUGACCAUCAUGACGUUGGCCUUGCAGCGAUCGACUCUGUUCUCCAGGCAAGCCGUCACCACCUCCAGGGCAUCCAGGUGCUCCAGGGAGUCCACCUCGAACGUCUGCCACAGGUCAACUGAAAGAGGACAGUGUGGCUCCAGCAUGAGGCGGUCUUUGACUUGUUCCAGCUCUCUCCUCAGGUUGUUGUAUUUGGCUCCGACCUCUAACAUCCUCUGCUGACGGUGCUCCAAAAACUUCAGCUUGGCACUGAAGCAUGCUGGGCCCUGUAAACACAUACGUACACACAUUUCAUGUCUUUUCCUUUUGUUCACACAGCGCAAAAUAGUUAAGGAACCCAAAAAAAUAAACUGGGUACUUGGAUACUGGACACUUUGUCAUGUAUCCAUAAACUCAAGCCAGCAAGAUUUGACAUUUGUUCCAUCUACAAACCCCUCAGCUCUAAUCUACAGACAUUACCCAGACUGACCAAUGCAAACAAGUAUAGUCUGAACUUUUCUCUGAAGAGCAAGACAGGAUUUUUGAAAUGAAUUAUUUUAAAAUAUUUAAAUAGUUUGGAAAAUAUUACUCAGACUAAUCUAUUCCCACCUCAAGAACAGUUUGUAGAAUGAAUUAUUAGCAGUUCCUGUUUUGAUUACUCCACUGGAAGAAUCACUAUCUCUGGAUCACUUUGAUAGUGAAGAUGUAAAAAUGUCAUGAUUCUUUGGAUGGUUCUGAAGUUGAUACUCUGAGGGUUUGUCUUGUUCUAUAAUUUCUGACCAUAUUUAUGAAAUAACGUAUGUCCUUGGAAAAUGUAGAGAAACUGAAUCUUAAAAAUAUGUGGAUCAUGGCUUUGUGUUCAGAUUUGACUUUAGACUCUGAGAAAAGGGGAAAAAAUUAGGCAAACCAAAUCAGCAAACUAUAAUAUCCAAUUUCCCAGCGUUUUUAGAUCACUGACUCACACCGGCUCACCUCCUUUACCCUCAACUCCUUUCCCUUCCGGCCUCACAGUUUGAAAACCUCUGUUCCACACCAACACACACCAACACAAAUGCA